GGCUGUGGCUCAGUGGUAGAGCGCUUGCCUAGAAUGUGCGAGGUGCUGGGUUCGAUACUUAGCACCA
rnacentral:tRNA from 1 species